rnacentral:misc_RNA from 1 species
GAAAAAGUAAACGGUAAAUUUACUCGACUCUUUGUUGAGAAAACAAAUAGUGUAAAAGUAUAAUAUAUGUAUCAUCAUAAAAGGCGUAUGUUAUAUUUAUUGAUUUGACGUAAAUAUUAAUGAUGAACGAAAGAGAGACUUACGGAGCUACUAGAGCUGCUAUUUGAUCGAUGAAGUUUCUUUUUCUCCUCCUUGGGUUCCACUUCUUCACUUACGUUAACUUUUUCAGACAACUCAGAUGAAAUUGCCUCUUCUUCAUGAGCAUGACUUGGUUUUUCCUCUUCUUUUUUUCCAAUGAAAUCAAACAAACCACGAUCAGUAGCUUCCACGUUGGUACCAACAGUCUCUUCAACGGAUGCCUUGUUCUGUUCGUAUUGAUCAGCCAUACUUCUUCUUCUUUUUUUCAAUCAAAAAGAUAUUAUCAACAAGUGAAAGUUUGAAUAUUGAAUUGGAUGUGAUUC